rnacentral:lncRNA from 1 species
GUUGGAGUCUUGUUUGUUUUUUCAGUGAAAGGGAAACAAAGAGAUUCAGACCGGACAUUGUGUUUCAGCCUCCAAAACAUGACAGGAUAAAGAACAACAGAAAUAGCAAAACAAUAGAAAUAAAGCAAGCUGCAAAAAGCGACCUUACAUUUUUUAUUUCAAGGUUCAAAUUGGAAGCCAACUGCUAAUGACGUUGGAUGAGAACCGGAGCGUUCCGAACUGUCAUCAUUGCAACGAUGCACAAAUACUAACAAAAGCAAAAACAAAACAAAAAAGCGAAAGGUGUUGAGCCCCGCCCUGCAGUCAGUCAGGCCGGGCCGCUCGCAGGUGCGUUCGGACCCCCCGGGCGUCACCCGCGCCGCCCCCCGCGGCUCUUUGCACGCGGCAGCUCGCGGCCGGAGCGCGCCGAGCGUUCCGAGGAGCCGGGAAGGAGCGGCGGCUGCGCGCAGGAUCACCCAUUUGAAUUCAUGCCAGUCUCUACAGGGUUACUGAUGCCAGCAAUUUAAGGAUCUUCGCAUCCAGUCUGAGUGGUCAACACGCCAGCUUUCUAAUUAUGAAUGUCAUGUGUACUUCAUCUCAGAAGAAGAGCUUGAUAGAAUCUUUCGAGCAGGUUUGGUUUGGGGUUGUUUGGGGUUGAUUGUUUUUUUGGAAACAGUCUUCUAUCAGCUAUAAAGAAAGCAAGAAAAUGCUAAUGUGCUGGUAAAUAAGAUAAAGGACAGCUGUGGUACUCCAGUGGGACACUGGCUUGACACUCUUUUUGUAACAGAUUAGUGUGCCUUAGUAUUGGAGUCAUUCAAAAGUGAUUUGUGGGGAAGGGUUUCCACAGAGCAAGCAGCAUACAAUUUUCAUGAGUUUGAGGAAACAUUUUUUAUGGUGAUGAACAAAACAAUGAGUUAAGACAGCUGGCUUAAUGACAGAGUGUAAGAUAUUGGGGAAAAAAAAAAAAAAAAAAAAAAGCAAAUCUUUCUAUAGAGUUUUAAGACCCCAGUGUUUGGGCAUUGGGAUAGAAAUAGGAGGUAGGUCUAUGCCAAAUCUGUAACUCUUUUCUAAAGUAGAAGUCUACUCUAUGCCAAAGGGAAAUAACCAUCAUAAUGCAAUAGUUCAGAUUGGUUUAUGUUUUGUAAGUCUUUCAAAAGUUUCAUCCUAGCAGCUUUUAAAAUAAAACUUGCAAUCGGCAAAUCUCA